GGGUAUAUACCCAAAGGACUAUAAAUCAUGCUGCUAUAGAGACACAUGCACACGUAUGUUUAUUGUGGCACUAUUCACAAUAGCAAAGACUUGGAACCAACCCAAAUGUCCAACAAUGAUAGACUGGAUUCAGAAAAAGUGGCACAUAUACACCAUGGAAUACUAUGCAGCCAUAAAAAAUGAUGAGUUCAUGUCCUUUGUAGGGACAUGAAUGAAAUUAGAAAUCAUCAUUCUCAGUAAACUACCGCAAGAACAAAAAACCAAAC
rnacentral:lncRNA from 10 species